CUGUUGAAGAAGGAGUGGAAAAAAAAAAAAACCCUAGAUUGGCUAGCUAAGGUUGACCGAGUCCUUUGAAUAACUUGGUGAUGCCUUUUUCUAAUCACCCAGGUGAGAAGCCUGCCUGCCUCAGGAAUUUCUUGCUCUCUCAUCCAGGUGACAGAUGUACUCCUGCCCUAUAACUAAGAUAGGUGACUUUCCACCUUGGACCUUCUCUGCCGUUUUCAUGCCCCUAUGGACCUGUCAUGAGUUUGUUGCUCUGGAUGAAAUCCUGUUGGGAGAAGACUUGCUUAGAGCGGAAGGUCUAUUGGGAUCAUAUUCAAACACUUGGAUAAGUACCCAGAGUUCUCAUGGCCUUUUACCAAAACUAGAUUCCGGACGUACUAUAUUUUGCCCAUGACCAAGCACUAUGCAAAACUGGGGAACAUCUGUGUUUAUUUUUUGUUGCCAAUCUUCAGAGUAACUGCAAUGGUUAAGGAGGAAAAUCUUCUCAAAUUGUGAGCCUAACUUACUUGAUCUCUAGAGAAUUUUAGCUCCCAUUUGCCAUAAAUCAAUUUAUAGUGACAUGCCUUGCAGAUGGUCUACCAGCAACUAAUGUUUAGUGCAGCUGUCCUUAUAUCAGGUAUACAGGUUCCAGAAUAUAAUAACCAGUUUCAUUUGCUGGACACUCAACUAAUGGAAACAUUGGAUUGAUUUAUUGUUGCAUAAUUGUAUGAAAAGAGAGAGAGAUCAGUUCCACUGCAGUCAGACUCUCUCACUUCGGGUUCAGCCCUAGUGCCUAGUGGUGUUUUAUUUGCCUGUGUUUUAUGGGUUAAUACUGUGUCUUUACCUUCUGGAGCAUCUCCUGUUAGGUAAGGCUGAGAGAGCUGGGCCUAUUUAGCCUGGAGAAGAGAAGACUGAGAGGCAAUCUUAUCAAUGUGUAUGCAUAUCUGAAGGGAGGGUGCCAAGAGGAUGGGGCCAGACUCCUCCCCGUGGUGCCCAGCAACAGGACAAGAGGUAACGGGCACAACCUGAAACACAGGAAGUUCCAUCUGAACCUGAGGAAAAACUUCUUGACUGGGAGGGUGACAGAGCGCUGGACCAGGUUGCCCAGAGAGGUUGUGGAGUCUCGAUCCUUGGAGAUAUUCAAAAGCUGUCUGGACACAAUCCAGGGCAACAUGCUCUAGAGGACCCUGCUUGAGUAGGGGGGUUGGACUAGACGAUCUCCAGAGGUCCCUUCCAACCUCAACCACUCUGUGAUUCUCACGUGAUUAGCAUAGUGCCGACAGCCUCAGAUCACACUGAGAUCAGAUCUCAGAUCUGAUCAAGCUGGACAGAUCUGAUCAAACUGAGAUUUCAGCAAAGAUAAUGGGAACUGGGCUGUAAGGUGAAGAGAAACAGAACUUGCCACAUAAAGGGGG
rnacentral:lncRNA from 1 species